GCAGGCAUAGCUCAGAGGAAGAGCAUCGGACUUCGAAUCCGAGGGUCGUGGGUUCGAGCCCCAUUGUCUGUA
rnacentral:tRNA from 1 species